CUUUAAUCCCAACACUUGGGAGGCAGAGGUGAAAGACCUCUGAAGGGAGACCCUCACUCAAGUCUCGGGAUAAUAGAGGACCCCCAAGAACUCAUGAGAGA
rnacentral:pre_miRNA from 7 species